rnacentral:rRNA from 1 species
CAGCAGUGGGGAAUAUUGCGCAAUGGGCGAAAGCCUGACGCAGCAACGCCGCGUGAGGGAUGACGGCUUUCGGGUUGUAAACCUCUUUCAGUGAUGACGAAAAUGACGGUAAUCACAGAAGAAGGUCCGGCCAACUACGUGCCAGCAGCCGCGGUAACACGUAGGGACCGAGCGUUGUCCGGAUUUAUUGGGCGUAAAGAGCUCGUAGGCGGUUGCGUAAGUCGGAUGUGAAAACUCAGGGCUCAACCCGGAGACGCCAUCCGAUACUGCGCUGACUAGAGUCCGGUAGGGGAGCAUGGAAUUCCUGGUGUAGCGGUGAAAUGCGCAGAUAUCAGGAGGAACACCAGUGGCGAAGGCGGUGCUCUGGGCCGGUACUGACGCUGAGGAGCGAAAGCAUGGGGAGCAAACAGGAUUAGA